UACGGAGGAUGCGAGCGUUAUCCGGAUUUAUUGGGCUUAAAGGGUGCGUAGGCGGAUCGUUAAGUCAGUGGUCAAAUUGAGGGGCUCAACCCCUUCCCGCCAUUGAAACUGGCGAUCUUGAGUGGAAGAGAAGUAUGCGGAAUGCGUGGUGUAGCGGUGAAAUGCAUAGAUAUCACGCAGAACCCCGAUUGCGAAGGCAGCAUGCCGGCUUCCGACUGACGCUGAAGCACGAAAGCGUGGGGAUCGAACAGG
rnacentral:rRNA from 1 species